AGUGAUAUAGUUAAUGUGCAUAAUAACAGGUUGUCGACUUGUAGUUGUCUUUUCAUAGACUGUUGCUA
rnacentral:tRNA from 1 species